rnacentral:lncRNA from 10 species
CCAGCCCUGAAAAUUCCAGCUCUCGCAGCCCUUGCUCCCAAUCCACGGCCUUCUGGCCACACCCUCUGUAGGGCUCCAGAACUGGCUCCUGCUUUUUCCCAGGGAUCAGCUAUACCCUGGACUCUGGGGCCCACUCCAGAGAGCGUGGGCCAGCCCGAGGAGGCAAGCCCGGAGGAGCAGCCAGAGGAGGCGAGUGCUGAGGAGGAGCGGCCGGAGGACCAGCAGGAGGAGGAGGCG